AUAACAGAGGAAAGAUUUGACUGAUUGCAACCUCUUUGUACUUGAUUUUUAAGUAUAAAUAAAAAUGCUAAAGGCAGUGAA
rfam:Flaviramulus basaltis strain DSM 18180 genome assembly, contig: Ga0104527_101